rnacentral:rRNA from 1 species
UACGAGGGGUGCAAGCGUUGCUCGGAAUUAUUGGGCGUAAAGGGUAGGUAGGUGGUCUCAUUUGUCUGUGGUGAAAGCCUUGGGCUUAACUCAAGAAGUGCCGCAGAAACGGUGAGACUGGAGUCCUGGAGAGGAAAGUGGAAUUCCUGGUGUAGCGGUGAAAUGCGUAGAUAUCAGGAGGAACACCGGUGGUGUAGACGGCUUUCUGGACCGUAACUGACGCUGAGACACGAAAGCGUGGGUAGCAAACAGG